rnacentral:rRNA from 1 species
GAUAAGAAGACCCCCGACCCCAUAGACAAACCCUAAUCCUCACUUAUCCCCUCGCACUCUCUCUCUCUUUCGUUUGUUCAUCGCUUGAAGCUUAUGGUCGUCGUUGCCGCGUCGAUCCCGCGGCCACCGGCAUCCCCGUCACCAUGCCCUGGAGCUUCAACGCCUCCGACUCCACCGACUACGUGCAUCGGUUUGAGCUCGGACACCUGCUACCUCGCCAUUGUGUCGUCUUCUCUGCCACCGCCGCCGCAUCUCGUCAUUGAGCUCGUCGCAUCUAGCCACCCCCGCGCUCCCCGACCUCGCCAUCGGACUUGCACUACGAGACUAACGUCGCUGCUGCUGCCCCGAUCGACUAGGUGUUGGCGACCCCUCCUUCUCGACUGAGCUUCCAGAUGUUGGAGCCCAGGAGCCAGACGCCACCGAUGACGACUCCUACUACACCGAAGGUGCCUACUACUACGUGCAGGCCACCGUCGACGACUAGGAGUAGUUUAGGAGGAUCCCAGGUAGGAGGCCUUGCCUUUUCGAUCGUUGCUAAUUUUGUGCUAGCCUUCUUAAGACAAACAUGUCUAACUUAUAUCUGUACUCAGAUAUUAUUGCUUCCGCUGACUCUUGUGCUUUCGAGCUUAUGUAUUCGAGCCCUCGAGGCCCCUGGCUUGUAAUAUAAAACUUGUAUUAUUUUAAUUUGUGUCUAGAGUUGUGUUGUGAU